UACAGAGGGUGCGAGCGUUAAUCGGAAUUACUGGGCGUAAAGCGCACGUAGUCGGCUUUGCAAGUCGAGUGUGAAAUCCCCAGGCUUAACCUGGGAACUGCAUUCGAGACUGCAUAGCUAGAGUAUGGGAGAGGGAAGUGGAAUUUCAGGUGUAGCGGUGAAAUGCGUAGAUAUCUGAAGGAACAUCAGUGGCGAAAGCGACUUCCUGGACCAAUACUGACGCUCAUGUGCGAAAGCGUGGGGAGCAAACAGG
rnacentral:rRNA from 1 species